GCCCUCGUGGCGUAAUGGUUAACGCGUCAGACUUGUACGUAUUCCUCUGAAGAUGUCGCAUGUAUUUAUGUUCUAACUCGACCCCUAGCUAUGUAAAAAGAGCGAUCUGAAGAUUGCGAGUUCGAAUCUCGCCGGGGGCU